rnacentral:guide_RNA from 1 species
AUAUAAUUAAAUAUUAAAGUGAUUGAUGU